CAUCUCUUUCCGUCUUUCAAAGAAAAACAGCAUUUCUUUUCUCUGCCAUGGCAAAAGAACUUUGGCUCCUUCUAUUUUCUUAGAAAAUUUUACUCCCACAUCUUAUAAUCAAAAAUUUUUGUGGCCAUUCCAAGGAAAUUUUCUGCAAACUCAAAGCAAUUUGAUUGAAGAGUUCAAAUUCAUUUGCCAUUUACAAUGAAGUUGACAAAGUUUGCGGUUGUAAGCUCAAGUUCUAGUUCGAAGCCAGAGUCUAUAGAUCUAUUCGACGCGCCCAAGUUCGCUGCAUCGCAAAAGGUACAUGUUCUGAAACUCGUGUAGAUUACCAGCUGAAAAAAAUGAAAUGAAGUUGCAAUCUCAUUUGUUGCUAAUUGUUCUGAUGGUUCUGUUGUAGUGUUAAAGUAGUUUUUUUUUCAUUUUGCAAUUACUACAUUUCUGAACUGUGUACUGUAUAAUCAGGACUGUUGAAAACUGAUUUGGACUGUCAUAAGACUAGUGGUUUGUGUUGGAUUGUAAAUUAGUCAUUAGCUUAGUAUGUUUCGUUUGGUGAUUAGUUUAGAUUUUGAUUUUACGCAACAACAUUCCAGAUUUCCGUUCGUGAUUAA